AUUGAACGCUGGCGGUAGGCCUAACACAUGCAAGUCGAACGGCAGCACAGUAAGAGCUUGCUCUUACGGGUGGCGAGUGGCGGACGGGUGAGGAAUACAUCGGAAUCUACUUUUUCGUGGGGGAUAACGUAGGGAAACUUACGCUAAUACCGCAUACGACCUACGGGUGAAAGCAGGGGACCUCGGGCCCUUCGGCGAUUGAAGGGCCGAAUGUCGGAUUAGCUAGUUGGCGGGGUAAAGGCCCACCAAGGCGACGAUCCGUAGCUGGUCUGAGAGGAUGAUCAGCCACACUGGAACUGAGACACGGUCCAGACUCCUACGGGAGGCAGCAGUGGGGAAUAUUGGACAAUGGGCGCAAGCCUGAUCCAGCCAUACCGCGUGGGUGAAGAAGGCCUUCGGGUUGUAAAGCCCUUUUGUUGGGAAAGAAAAGCAGCAGGUUAAUACCCCGCUGUUCUGACGGUACCCAAAGAAUAAGCACCGGCUAACUUCGUG
rnacentral:rRNA from 1 species